GAUGAACGCUAGCUACAGGCUUAACACAUGCAAGUCGAGGGGAAACGACAUCGGAAGCUUGCUUUUGAUGGGCGUCGACCGGCGCACGGGUGAGUAACGCGUAUCCAACCUGCCCACCACUUGGGGAUAACCUUGCGAAAGUAAGACUAAUACCCAAUGACGUCUCUAGAAGACAUCUGAAAGGGAUUAAAGAUUUAUCGGUGAUGGAUGGGGAUGCGUCUGAUUAGCUUGUUGGCGGGGUAACGGCCCACCAAGGCGACGAUCAGUAGGGGUUCUGAGAGGAAGGUCCCCACAUUGGAACUGAGACACGGUCCAAACUCCUACGGGAGGCAGCAGUGAGGAAUAUUGGUCAAUGGGCGAGAGCCUGAACCAGCCAAGUAGCGUGCAGGAUGACGGCCCUAUGGGUUGUAAACCGCUUUUGAUUGGGAACAAAGAGCGCCACGUGUGGUGCGUUGCGUGUACCUUUCGAAUAAGCAUCGGCUAAUUCCGUGCCAGCAGCCGCGG
rnacentral:rRNA from 1 species